rnacentral:lncRNA from 1 species
GAAUGACAGCUCUCAAACUGGAUUUCAAGACAAAUUUGAUGGGUCUAUAGAUUUGCAAGCCAACUGGUAUCGAAUCCAAGGAGGUCAAGUUCAUAUUGACUGUCUCUCUAUGGAUACUGCUCUGAUAUUCACUGAAAACAUAGGAAAACCUCGUUAUGCUGAGACCUGGGAUUUUCAUGUGUCAGCAUCUACCUUCUUGCAGUUUGAAAUGAGCAUGGGCUGCAGCAAGCCCUUCAGUGCCUCCCACAGUGUACAGCUCCAGUAUUCUCUGAACAAUGGCAGGGACUGGCAUCUUGUCACUGAAGAGUGUGUUCCUCCAACCAUUGGCUGUCUGCACUACACAGAAAGUUCAAUUUACACCUUGGAAAGAUUCCAGAAUUGGAAGCGCAUCACUGUCUACCUUCCACUCUCCACCAAGUGAGAAUUGUCAGAACUUUAGGUUUCUGUCACCUAAUUUGAAAAU